UACGUAGGGGGCUAGCGUUGUCCGGAUUUAUUGGGCGUAAAGAGCGUGUAGGCGGCCAGGUAGGUCUGCUGUGAAAACUCGAGGCUCAACCUCGAGACGUCGGCGGAAACCAUCUGGCUAGAGUCCGGAAGAGGUGAGUGGAACUCCGAGUGUAGAGGUGAAAUUCGUAGAUAUUCGGAAGAACACCAGUGGCGAAGGCGGCUCACUGGUCCGGUACUGACGCUGAGGUGCGAAAGCGUGGGGAGCAAACAGG
rnacentral:rRNA from 1 species